GUGGGGAAUCUUGCGCAAUGGGCGAAAGCCUGACGCAGCCAUGCCGCGUGAAUGAUGAAGGUCUUAGGAUUGUAAAAUUCUUUCACCGGGGACGAUAAUGACGGUACCCGGAGAAGAAGCCCCGGCUAACUUCGUGCCAGCAGCCGCGGUAAUACGAAGGGGGCUAGCGUUGCUCGGAAUUACUGGGCGUAAAGGGCGCGUAGGCGGACAGUUUAGUCAGAGGUGAAAGCCCAGGGCUCAACCUUGGAAUUGCCUUUGAUACUGGCUGUCUUGAGUACGGGAGGAGUGGAGGGAACUCCGAGUGUAGAGGUGAAAUUCGUAGAUAUUCGGAAGAACACCAGUGGCGAAGGCGACUCACUGGCCCGUUACUGACGCUGAGGCGCGAAAGCGUGGGGAGCAAACAGGAUUAGAAACCCGGGUAGUCC
rnacentral:rRNA from 1 species